rnacentral:lncRNA from 1 species
UCUUUUUGAAAUUUUUUAGAGAGAUUUUGAAUAAAUAUCCAAGUAACUGUAUCUUGAGUUUUUCAUGGUUUAAAUUUAUUCAAUUACUAAAAUUUAAAUUGUUUAUGAUGAGUAUCCCAAAUUUGCGUAUUUAUGCCUUUUGAUUUUCCCUUUAUAUACUUAUUGGGGUGCUGUUUGUAUAGAGUCAAGGCUCUAAACAAUCAAAAUAAAGUCUGCAUUCAAAUAAUGUCACAAAAUAUGGUUUCAAUACUGGAAAUCUUUGUGAUAGCCUUAAAGUAUAUUUCCAUAUUUAAUUAUAAAAUUUAAAGCUUAAAAAAUAGUGUAGAUUGAGCAGAUCUAUGAAAACUUGAAAAUCUUAAAAAUUGACAGUUGAAAAAUGCAUUACAAGAUAUACUAUUUCCAAAACUUGAAAUCUAGUUUUUUC